AUGCACACGGGCAGGAGGUUUCUUGGAUGUGCUAAGAAGGAAGGCAUAAACUGUGGAGUAGUUCAAUGGAUUGAUUUUGAAUGGCCAGACUCAAUGGAGAAGGCAUUGGCCAAGCUAUGGGAUAUGUAUGAGGAGACUAAGUCAGCUAGGACCAAUGACAAUCUAGAGAGUUCCUUUGCAAUUCACAACCUGACAGAAGAGAAGAAGAAACUACAGGAGAACUAUGACAGUUUGUAUGCUGAUGUGAAUGCUCUUUUGAAUGCCCGACAGGAGAGGGGUGUGGAGUUAACCAAUCAAAAGGAGCAGAAGCAAUAUCUUGAAGUGAAGAUUGCUGAGCUUGAAACUGUAGUUGGCAACUUGAAGGCAGAGUUGUCAAAGAAAAAGGACGAGAAGAAGAAACUACAGGAGAACUAUGACAGUUUGUAUGCUGAUGUGAAUUCUCUCUUGGAUGCCCAGCAGCAGAGGGGUGUGGAGUUAAACAAUCAGAAGGAGCAGAAGGAAUAUGUUGAUGUGAAGAUUGUUGAGCUUGAGACUGUAGUGGGGAACUUGAAGGCAGAGCUGUCAAAGACAGAGGAGGAGGAGAAGAAGAUGCUGCUAAUGAAGGAAAUAUGCCCUAGAGACAAACAGAGUGUCACUAGUAUGCCUCUACUUGACUAG
rnacentral:rRNA from 1 species